UACGUAGGGUGCAAGCGUUAAUCGGAAUUAUUGGGCGUAAAGGGUGCGCAGGCGGAUGUAUAAGUCAGAUGUGAAAUCCCCGGGCUUAACCUGGGAAUUGCGUCUGAUACUGGGAGGCUUGAGUAUGGGAGAGGGAUGUAGAAUUCCACGUGUAGCGGUGAAAUGCGUAGAGAUGUGGAGGAACACCGAUGGCGAAGGCAGCCUUCUGGGCCAACACUGACGCUCAUGCACGAAAGCGUGGGGAGCAAACAGG
rnacentral:rRNA from 1 species